rnacentral:rRNA from 1 species
AUUGAACGCUGGCGGCAUGCUUUACACAUGCAAGUCGAACGGUAACAGCACUUCGGUGGCUGACGAGUGGCGAACGGGUGAGUAAUACAUCGGAACGUGCCUAGUAGUGGGGGAUAACUACUCGAAAGAGUAGCUAAUACCGCAUGAGAUCUAGGGAUGAAAGCAGGGGACCUUCGGGCCUUGCGCUACUAGAGCGGCUGAUGGCAGAUUAGGUAGUUGGUGGGAUAAAAGCUUACCAAGCCGACGAUCUGUAGCUGGUCUGAGAGGACGACCAGCCACACUGGGACUGAGACACGGCCCAGACUCCUACGGGAGGCAGCAGUGGGGAAUGUUGGACAAUGGGCGCAAGCCUGAUACAGCAAUGCCGCGUGCAGGAUGAAGGCCUUCGGGUUGUAAACUGCUUUUGUACGGAACGAAAAGCCCUCUUCUAAUACAGGAGGGUCAUGACGGUACCGGAAGAAGAAGCACCGGCUAACUACGUG